AGUUUUGAUUUCAUUUUUGUUUUUUUCAUUUGCACUCCUUCGUAUUUUUAGAUCUACGGUGUUAUGAUUUAAUUUUCCGUUUGCUUCUUCUAAUUUCUGGUGUUUUUUUAGGGGUUUUGAUUUCAGAAGAAAGAAGAAAGUAAACAACAAAUCUUUUCGAAAGAUUUACAUGUGGAACUCCAAUCAGUUCAGGGACAGUUGUGGCUCAUAGAUGAAUAUUAUUUAUCCUAGAGACGCCCUUGAAUUGUUUAAGCAGAGUUGUGAAUUUGUUUGCCCUGAUGAUGGUUUUCUAGAGGAGGUGUGUAUUAUGAAGGUCACUCUAUAUGCUGUAAAUGUUGGUUGUACUACUUAACACAUUUGUGGAAAACGACAAAGACAUUACUUUUGCAGCUGUUGAGACGUUUAUGUUCUGUUUAUUGUGUCUUCUGCAGCUAUUUGAGACGUGGAUUGGGGUGGCAUCUUCCCAAAGUUGUCGGUUUGGAUCUAUUCACAUCCCUGGUGAUGGCUUUUAUAAGUUGGCAACUAUUUUCGGCAUGCCAAAGAUCUUCAUUAUGAGAAGAUUAUUACCUAA